rnacentral:rRNA from 1 species
AAUAAGCGGAGGAAAAGAAACUAACAAGGAUUCCCCUAGUAACUGCGAGUGAAGCGGGAAAAGCUCAAAUUUAAAAUCUGGCGGUCUUUUGCCGUCCGAGUUGUAAUCUAGAGAAGUAAUGCCCGUGCUGGACCGUGUAUAAGUCUCCUGGGAUGGGGCGUCAUAGAGGGUGAGAAUCCCGUCUUUGACACGGACUACCAGUGCAUUGUGGUAUGCUCUCAAAGAGUCGAGUUGUUUGGGAAUGCAGCUCAAAAUGGGUGGUAAAUUCCAUCUAAAGCUAAAUAUUGGCGAGAGACCGAUAGCGAACAAGUACCGUGAGGGAAAGAUGAAAAGAACUUUGGAAAGAGAGUUAAACAGUACGUGAAAUUGCUGAAAGGGAAACGCUUGAAGUCAGUCGCGUUGGCCAGGGAUCAGCCUUGCUUUUGCAUGGUGUAUUUUCUGGUUAACGGGUCAGCAUCAAUUUUGACCACUGGAAAAGGGCCUGGGGAAUGUGGCAGCUUAGGCUGUGUUAUAGCCCCUGGUCGCAUACAGUGGUUGGGAUUGAGGAAUUCAGCAUGCCGCAAGGCCGGGUUUCGACCACGUUCGUGCUUAGGAUGCUGGCAUAAUGGCUUUAAGCGACCCGUCUUGAAACACGGACCAAGGAGUCUAACAUGCCUGCGAGUAUUUGGGUGGAAAACCCGAGUGCGCAAUGAAAGUGAAAGUUGAGAUCCCUGUCGUGGGGAGCAUCGACGCCCGGACCAGAACUUUUGGGACGGAUCCGCGGUGGAGCAUGUAUGUUGGGACCCGAAAGAUGGUGAACUAUGCCUGAAUAGGGUGAAGCCAGAGGAAACUCUGGUGGAGGCUCGUAGCGAUUCUGACGUGCAAAUCGAUCGUCAAAUUUGGGUAUAGGGGCGAAAGACUAAUCGAACCAUCUAGUAGCUGG